UUAAACGUCUUCUUAAAAAGCCCACUCUUGAUCCAGGGGUUUUAGCCAACUACAGACCUAUAUCUAACCUUCCUUUCCUCUCUAAGAUCCUUGAGAAAGCAGUCGGCAAUCAGUUGUGUGACUUCCUACAGAAUAACAGUUAAUUAGGAUUUAGAGUGCAUCAUAGCACGGAGACAGCACUGGUGAAAAUUAUAAAUGACCUUCUAACUGCAUCAUACAAUGAACUUGUCUGGACCUGUUGAAUAAGAAUUCCACUUUAGACGUAAAUGUCAGUAAGGGCUCGAUUUGCAGGAAGCACUGGCUAGAUAAGACAAGGAAGGAGAACGUAGGACAAAGGAAGAGGUGACUAAGCAUCCUGCAAGAUCACUCUCCUUGCCAUCCAAUCUGGGCUGAAAUACAGAAAACACUACCACUUGGAAGCUUUACAAUAUGUAUUUUAUUGCACUUCUGCAAUACAUGUGCAAUAAACUCUUCUAAUUACUGGAAGGAAGCACAGUUACUUUAUACAAUACUUGUGAUACUGAUAAGUGAACAAGUUCUGCAGCAUUCCAGUCGAAACAAUGUAAGCAUGUCAAAUGCCAUUAAUUAUGUUUCUCUGCAGUUCAUUGACAAACCGACGUCAUAGUUUAUCCACAUUUCCCCCCCGUGUGUACUCUGGUGUUACUCUCCCCUCCCUGUGUUCCUCGUCAGUCCUCUGUUCGUCUCUUGGUGUGUGUGUGUGUGUGUGUGUGUGUACGGGCCUGGCGGGGCACUCGGGUUUUCCCUCCUGCUGCGGAUCACCGGCACAGCUGACAUUCAUCACCCAAUCAACUCCUGGCUCUACCACGCAACCUGCGCCAGAUUGUCUCAGUACAUCAGUAAGAGCUACUCCCUGCCAGUGAUCGCAGCCACCUUGUCCUCUCCGAUCUCUGCAAACUGCCUUUCCUGGUCUGCCUGCCUCGCUGCACGAGCCGCUCCUGAGCCCUGCUGGUUCUCCACGGACCGUGUCGGCAAACCUCACUGCCGGCUCCAGCAGACUACGACUCGCCCAGUGACUGUUUACCGUGUUACAAUAAAGACUGUUAAAACCAC